rnacentral:rRNA from 1 species
CCUGAACGCUGGCGGCGUGGCUAAGACAUGCAAGUCGCACGGUGUAGCAAUACACAGUGGCGAACGGGAGAGUAAUGAAUCGCUAACGUACCCCGGACUCUGGGAUAGCUAUCCGAAAGGGUAGGUAAUACCAGAUAAUACGACCUUGUCGCAUGGCAGGGUUUUCAAAGGUCCGCCGGUCUGGGAGCGGGCGAUUUCGUAUCAGCUAGUUGGUGAGGUAACGGCUCACCAAGGCGACGACGCGUAGCCGGACUGAGAGGAUGAUCAGCCACACUGGGACUGAGACACGGCCCAGACUCCUACGGGAGGCAGCAGUGGGGAAUAUUGGACAAUGGGCGAAAGCCUGAUCCAGCCAUGCCGCGUGAGUGAUGAAGGCCC